CCUACGGGAGGCAGCAGUGGGGAAUAUUGGGCAAUGGGCGCAAGCCCGACCCAGCAAUGCCGCGUGAAGGAAGAAGGCUUUCGGGUUGUAAACUUCUUUGACAGGGGAAGAGCAGAAGACGGUACCCUGAAAACAAGCCACGGCUAACUACGUGCCAGCAGCCGCGGUAAUACGGAGGUGGCAAGCGUUGUCCGGAUUUACUGGGUGUAAAGGGCGUGUAGCCGGGAAGGCAAGUCAGAUGUGAAAUCUGGAGGCUCAACCUCCAAAUUGCAUUUGAAACUGUUUUUCUUGAGUACUGGAGAGGCAGACGGAAUUCCUUGUGUAGCGGUGAAAUGCGUAGAUAUAAGGAGGAACACCAGUGGCGAAGGCGGUCUGCUGGACAGCAACUGACGGUGAGGCGCGAAAGCGUGGGGAGCAAACAGGAUUAGAUACCCCAGUAGUC
rnacentral:rRNA from 1 species